UUGCAACUGUCCUUCUUGCACAAACGAAUAUACCCGACGUAGAUGGUUUCAUACAUUUCUCGCAGUCUUUUCAUCUAAGAACUUACAUUCUCGAAUCCAACUCCUCCGAUUCAUAAGAAUUAACAGUUUUGACUCCAACUCUUCCGAUUGAUAAGAAUUGGCAUCCCCGCCGUCUUCUCCUCUAACAAUUUACUCUGUAGUGUUUAUUCUCCAAGCGAAGACCCUCUUUUGCAAUUAUCACACCUCCCCGCCCCCUCCAGUGGAAACGAUAAUAUCUCAUUCUUGCAAUUGUAGUGAAAGCGGCACCGGUGGCGAUGGUGGCUUCCACACAACCGUCUUCCGAUUGAUGCAAGAGGAUUGGUCCAUCUGUUGCUCCUGUAUUAUAGGGCUCUAUCAAUUUGGGCAACGAUUUUGAGCAAUCGGUGACGAAUUUUGUUGGAGGUCGGCAGUUUCCAUUUAAAGAUGUAAAUGCCCUGAGAAGAUUUCGAUCGUCAAGUCUAAGAAGAAAAAGAGCGUCGCCACGCUUUGCGUAAGGUACAACACAUUCAUGCACAUGUGGUCUCCUGCUGGUCAAACCGGAUUGUUUGGAAUGAAUGAAGUUAUGAAUCACGGUUGCGAUUUCAUAAAUGGACAAGGAAGCAAAAAAAGAUGGACCUAACAGAGUAACAAUAAUAGGGAUGUGUGACUUCUAGCUCACACUAAAAUUACUUUAUCUAUGCAUUAUUUGA